UAAGGAAUAUUGGUCAAUGGACGAAAGUCUGAACCAGCCAUGCCGCGUGGAGGAUGAAGGCCCUCUGGGUUGUAAACUUCUUUUAUCUGGGACGAAAAAAGGGAAUUCUUUCUCACUUGACGGUACCAGAGGAAUAAGCACCGGCUAACUCCGUGCCAGCAGCCGCGGUAAUACGGAGGGUGCAAGCGUUAUCCGGAUUUACUGGGUUUAAAGGGUGCGUAGGUGGGCAAGAAAGUCAGUGGUGAAAUCUCCGAGCUUAACUCGGAAACUGCCAUUGAUACUUUUUGUCUUGAAUAUUCUGGAGGUAAGCGGAAUAUGUCAUGUAGCGGUGAAAUGCUUAGAUAUGACAUAGAACACCGAUUGCGAAGGCAGCUUGCUACGGAAUUAUUGACACUGAGGC
rnacentral:rRNA from 1 species